rnacentral:lncRNA from 1 species
UUGUCUACAGCAUAUAAAUUCAAAACAGAUGGGGGAGAGACACAUCAGAUCAGAGGCGCUGUACUGCUCUGGACACCAAUUACGGUACACAAAAUGUGUCACAUGCCUUUUCACAGAGCUACUAGUGUGUGAUGUGACCUUGAAGACCAGAGAUAAAAAUGCUUCGAAUUCCGAGAGGCAGUAUUUCCAUGAUCUGUCAACCGCAGUUUAUUAUUUCUCAGCCAUGGGCAGCUCUUCUGCUCUCAGUGGUGAUGGCCCCAUUUGAUGGGAGCUCAGCGGGGCACUUCAGUUCUCCUCCACGUGGUUUCUCUCUGCAUGGCUUCUCUUAUCCUCCAUGGCUUCUUCAGGUGGCCUCUUUCCAGCAGGAUAGUCUAGACUUUCUCACCACAUGGAACCUGGGAUCCAAGAGGGAGUGUUUGAACAUAACAAACCUAAUUGUUAAGAUGGUUAUGAAGCUUCUGCUUGUGUCACACUUGCUAAAGCCUCAUUGGCCAAGUCAAAUCACAUGAUCAAGAUCAACUUCUGUGUGUAAAAGGGGACUUUACAAGGGAGUGAAUACCAGGGGUAUCACUGGAUAAGGAGGCCACAGUGUAACACACUGCCACACCAGUAAUAAUAAUAAUAGUAAUGAUAUCCGUCAUUUACUGAGCAGGUACCGUGUCAGUGUGAUUUCUCUUUCAUUAUCAUAGUAACAUAGCCUAUCAUCUUGGUAGCUUUAUCAUUUCACAGGAAAGGUAAUGGAGGCUCAGUGACUCUGACCUGUUAAGGUGACAAGAGUGAAUUCAAACACCGGUCUUUCUAUUUUUAAGAUCCCAGGAUAAUAGAUGGGGCUUCCCAGGGGGCACAGCGGUAAAGAAUCCACCUGCCAAUGAGGAGACAUGGAUUCGACCCCUGGGCCAGGAAAAUCCCCUAGAAAAGGAAAUGGCAACCCACUCCAGUACAUUUGCCUGGAAAAUUCCAUAGACAGAGGAGCCUGGUGGGCUACAGUCCAUGGGGUCUCAAAGAGUUGGACACUACUGAGUUACUGAGCAUAUGCACACAGUAGAAUAGAUAGAAGUGUGGGAUGCCGAGAAGUAAUUUUUUCUAAAAGAGGAAAAUGUAUUUUUAAUGUAACAAUGAAUUUUGGAAUUUGGAAGGGAAAAAGAAAGAUUCUAGUCAGUGGUUUUCUGUGCAGGGUGUUCUAGUGUGUUUGGGGCCUUCUUGUCCCAAGACUGACGUUCUUCAUUUGCAGUCAUUCUUUCUAAUUCUGGCAUUUCAAAUGGAGAACAUAGUCAGUAAACAAGAUUGGGUAUAAUUAGACUAAUCAAAAUGCAAAAAGAGUAUAAUGCAACUUUUCUUUUAAUCAGCUCUUGUUUUAAUCCUUGGCAAGAAGAGCCAGUCUCUACCCUGGCUAUGUUUUCAAAAGUUCUUCCCCAAACCAUUUGGGAAGCAGAGAGCUGGAGAAAGAAGAGGAGUGGAGGCAGCUAGACCCUGUAAUAAGGCAGAUUUCAAAACAUAGCUCAGAUUUUUGGAAAAUCCCUUCUUGGGCAUAAAAAGUGCAACAACCUAUGUUCAGAUGCUUUUGCCAGCUGAAAACCACCAUGACACUCGAAUGCGGUUUGCAAAUGUUCCCUUCUUCCCCACCAGCACCCACGGCUGUGUUCCAGGAGAUGAAUACAGUGUUUGGCCUGUCUCAGGGCUGAGAGUGUAUGAAGCAUGGGCAUUGUUGGGUGAGCCUGGCUGGGAGUUCUUAAAAUCAAGGGAAUCAUGUGGAAAGAUUAAUGGAAACUUAUAUUAAAAUAUGAUACCUCCAAAAAUAAUUUCUUGCAAGCAGUAAGAAUUAAAGCAUUGUGAAACAAACAGAGCUUUCACUAUUAACCUUAGGAAAGAAAAAAGGGUGGCUGGCUCAGUGGAAAAUAUCGGCUGUGAUUUUUUUUUUCUUUUGGCCCUUUCCAUGCUAGAUGGCACUAUGAUGGAAGGGCUUGGUUGUUUGAAGAGACUCCCAGAGAGGGAGGGAUAAAAACAGCUCAUGUGAGUUUUGGUAUAUCAUGGUUGGUGGGUUCCUAUUUUAUUUUCAACCCUCCGUUGUCUCAUUACUUCACUAUUAUUUUGGUUUUAGAGGUAAUUUUAAUCUUAAAUAUAGUGUUUGGUUUUUCUCAAUGUAGGCACUUGGAGGGAAAUCUAACAGGUCUACCAAAUCCCUGGAGUGAAUGUUGACUGACAUCUGCAUGGCACUUGCCUGUGUCCUUCCCACGCGCCACCCCCCCCGCCCCCUGCACCCUAGUGGCAGUACUUUAAUGGCAUGAAGUUCCUGGAAAAUAGUAUUUCUUAACCAAUUUCUUUCAAAGUGAAGUCCAUAGAGAAAAGGGUCAUUUUAUCUGAGCAAAUAACAAAUUCUUACAGACGCUUGUAAUCACUGUCAACUCUCCCUCCCACCCCUCAAAAAUAGACCUUGUGGUGUGAAGUGAGGACAGCAAGUGAUUCAUGUGUGAGUUUAUAAUUCAUUUUAGAAAUAAAGCUGAGCCCGUAAAGUACA